rnacentral:rRNA from 1 species
GAUGAACGCUGGCGGCGUGCCUAAUACAUGCAAGUAGAACGCUGAAGGAAGGAGCUUGCUCUUUCCGGAUGAGUUGCGAACGGGUGAGUAACGCGUAGGUAACCUGCCUGGUAGCGGGGGAUAACUAUUGGAAACGAUAGUUAAUACCGCAUAACAGUAGAUGUUGCAUGACAACUAUUUGAAAGGGGCAAUUGCUCCACUACCAGAUGGACCUGCGUUGUAUUAGCUAGUUGGUGAGGUAACGGCUCACCAAGGCGACGAUACAUAGCCGACCUGAGAGGGUGAUCGGCCACACUGGGACUGCGACACGGCCCAGACUCCUACGGGAGGCAGCAGUAGGGAAUCUUCGGCAAUGGACGGAAGUCUGACCGAGCAACGCCGCGUGAGUGAAGAAGGUUUUCGGAUCGUAAAGCUCUGUUGUAAGAGAAGAACGAGUGUGAGAGUGGAAAGUUCACACUGUGACGGUAUCUUACCAGAAAGGGACGGCUAACUACGUG